AUUUUACGAAAUUAUACAUUCAAAAAUUUCAUCACAAUCUGUGUUAAAUUUAGUUAUAGCCAUGCAAAAACUAACAAUUAUUAUUGUUGAGUCUGUCUUAUUUACAUUUCCCAAACAUAUAAUUACGGACACUCGCGCGGUAAAGCGAAACACCUGGCACUGGAACAAACUACAAGCAUUACCAAAGCCAACGUUAUCUAUUAGGAACAUCAAUAGCACACGUACUGAAACAUGUGUGAUUGGGAAGUACACUUAAAACAACAGCUGCCCAACGUUGAAAGGCAUUUUACAGGUACCCAAACACCUGUAAUAUAAGAGCGCUUCAACUCAGUCGCUGAAUGAUAUGCAAACGAAACAACGAUGUCAAGCAACGAUGAGGGAUGAUAUAGACCGCGCUGUUAGAGAUAUUGACACAACGUUUGCGGAAAUCGUUUACUACGGAUUCGUUGCAUAUUUUGCUUCAACGGAUGAAUGAACGUUCUCACGCGCUGUCAAUCAUAUUCGACACGUUGGUGUUCUUAGUGACCAUUGCACAAGUCCAUUUUUGAGGACAGUUUCGAGUCUUUUUCAGCACUACACCUAUAAACGACUUUGCUGUGGUACAGCAAGAGUAAACGUGAACAGAAAUGUUAACUUCGGAACGCACGAUUACAUGGAAAAAUCUUUAACACAUUUUGAAUUAGCAGCCGGUUGUGCAGGACGAGAAUUUGCAAAUGAUGAAGCCCUGCGGUCCUACGUUCAUUUUAUGGAAAAGCGCCAAAAGAUAAAGUAUUACAUGUGCCGAGCUCGAGAAAGCGAGUGUAAUAGCGACGUCGAUAUGGCAUUGCCCUACACCAGAAAAACCAUGGCAAAUGCAUACAAUGGCACGUACUGUCCGUCGGACCGAGAUAAUAUUUCACAGUAUCACAGACACCUUGAACACCUUUCCAAGAAGUAUUCACCCUUAUAAUACAAGCAUUUAAAAUAUUUGUAUCGUCCCUGGCUGAUUUGCAUUGCGUUGGCGAUAGCAUGUUUCUUGAUUAUGUUUAUAUCAAGUACAUGUAUGCAUCGUAUUUAACUCGGUCAGCAGCUGGAGCGUGCACCUCGCGACCGGGGUGAGAGUCACCCGAAGAUGAUUCUCUUGAAGCUUUCUCUGAAGAAUCGCCAAGUGGAAUGCUAAUGGUCCGUAGAUGGAUAGUGGCCGCCAUAAAUUGUCUAUAGAGGGUCGCAUUGGGAAACUUGCUGAAGGCUCUUCGAAUGCCGCUAGUACUAUUAUCAAUCGAGCCAAGCGUCCUCUCCCGCUGAUUUCUCGAACUGCAAAGGCCAAAACUGACAUAACUUCAUCGUCGGAAGAGGUUCGGGAGGAGCGGGGCACCUGAUGUGGCAGCGUAAUGGACGGACGGGGCGGACCUUAAGCAGCGAUGCAGACCAGGACUUAUGAAGAUAAUGGAAGAGUCUCAGGACGGCGGUACUCAGUACGCUUAACGUGAUACAGAAACAGUACUGUAGUCCAGGUUGACGGCUGGUAACGUCUAGAGUGGCAUAAAAGGCGGCACAUGGCACUAGGAGCGGGAAGAAAAUGUAUUUGAAUAUUGUUCGCACUCCCCUUGCGGAGUAGCCUUGUCUUCUCGACGGCGGGGAAACAAGAAAUAAAUUGCCUUGAAAUUGUCUACCAGUGUUCAUUAAGGUAUCAUUGGCCACUGUUCACUACUCUAUUUGGAUCCAAAUGAUUACUUUUGCGAAAACCCGGGCAGCAAAGGUAAAUUUGACCUACAUUUUUCUGAAAAAAAUACCCUCAACAAAAGGGGCAGGUCAGCAAGUAAGGAAGUGGCGAAGACGUUGAGAUGACAUGUACAUAAACUUUGACUUACGCACGCGGAUAGUAUUUAAACGCCAACAUCGCAGCCUUUUUUGACGGAGCUUGCCCUAGCCUUUAUGAAAAAUACUGCUCGCAAAUCAAUGGAACUCCUGUUCAAUGCCAAUAACCGCUAGUACACAGCCAAACUAGCAGAAAUGAAUUAUAUGGUAUUGAACAGACUUUGUUUAUCCCGAUGGAAGCAGCUGUUUUUUUUGCAUAAAAUAGGGAAUGUACAUAACAUAUCAUCAUUGUAGUUGUUAUUCUUUUUAGAUAAAUUCCAGAUUUGAUAAUGUCUGCAUAUGUAUUAUGCAAACAAUGGAUUUGAAAUAUAAUUGUUUAAAUUAUGCCAUGUUGUAUGAAUUGUCAUCUAUUGCAAAAUGAAAUCGGUAACUUCCCAUUAACAAAAGACAAGAGAGCUUUGAUAAGAAUUACUUUUCUGCCAAUGAUUCAGGAGUUGGUGUGUUCCUAUAUAAAUGUAAACUAAAAUUGAGUGCAGGUAAACAUGCUUUUUAAAUACUAAAAAUGCUUUGGCCCAAACAAAUUGAUAAACCGUAACUAACCAUUAUUUCGAAAUGCAUUAACUUUUGUAAGAGAAAAUAAAGUUAUUAUACCAGAAAAUAUUCUAUAUGAAGUUUGUCCUCCAUAAAUCAUAGCAGGCCUUUUUUUGUCUCAGCUGAAUGUGCACUUUUUAUAAAUUGUUGUAGUCAGAAUAAUGCAAAGAAAGGUUUCACAAAAAUGUGCAGCUUGGACUUUUAAUUUAAGUUAUAUUUUGUAAACUGAAGAAACAUUUGCACUUUUUCACUUAAAUGUAUUUUGCUUUGUCCGUUUUGUUUGGGGUUUUUUUCGCUCAGAUUUACAAUGAGAAACAGUGUAAAAGAUGUUCAUGAACAUGUACCAUGUUAAAUUGUAAUUCGUUUUAGGUUGUUAUUUGAGAAACAGUGUAAAAUGUUUUCAUGAACUUGUACCAUGUGAAGUUCUAGUUCACCUUUAGUUGUAAUUUCAUAAAAAGUGUAAAAGAUUGUCAUGAGCUUUUACCAUGAUAAGUUGUAAUUCGUUUUAAGUUGUAAUUUGAGAAACGGGGUAAAAGGCUUUCAUGAACUUGUACCAUGUUUAUUUAUUAUUCGUUUUAAGUUGUAAUUUGAGAUACAGUGUAAAAGUUUGUCAUGAACUUGUACCAUAUUCAGUUGUAAUUCCUCUUUAGAUAAUUGAGACAUUGGCAUUUAAUAAAGUGACAUUUUUGCCAUAUGGGCUAGUAUAGGCUAACAUAGCUAUAUUUGGAGCUGUAUAUAUAUGUGUUUGCAUGUUUAUUGCACCCUUACUUGUACAUACACAAAUUGCUAACUCUAAUGAAAUAUAUUAAAGUAUGUAUAGUUUACACUAUCUAGUGUAGAGUGUACAAUAUU